rnacentral:rRNA from 1 species
GGAAUCUUAGACAAUGGGCGCAAGCCUGAUCUAGCCAUGCCGCGUGAGUGAUGAAGGCCCUAGGGUCGUAAAGCUCUUUCGCUGGGGAAGAUAAUGACUGUACCCAGUAAAGAAACCCCGGCUAACUCCGUGCCAGCAGCCGCGGUAAUACGGAGGGGGUUAGCGUUGUUCGGAAUUACUGGGCGUAAAGCGCGCGUAGGCGGACUAUUAAGUUAGAGGUGAAAUCCCAGGGCUCAACCUUGGAACUGCCUUUAAUACUGGUAGUCUUGAGUUCGAGAGAGGUGAGUGGAAUUCCGAGUGUAGAGGUGAAAUUCGUAGAUAUUCGGAGGAACACCAGUGGCGAAGGCGGCUCACUGGCUCGAUACUGACGCUGAGGUGCGAAAGCGUGGGGAGCAAAC